rnacentral:rRNA from 1 species
ACGGAAGGCAGCAGUGGGGGAUAUUGCACAAUGGGGGAAACCCUGAUGCAGCGACGCCGCGUGAGUGAAGAAGUAUUUCGGUAUGUAAAGCUCUAUCAGCAGGGAAGAAAAUGACGGUACCUGACUAAGAAGCUCCGGCUAAAUACGUGCCAGCAGCCGCGGUAAUACGUAUGGAGCAAGCGUUAUCCGGAUUUACUGGGUGUAAAGGGAGCGUAGACGGCGAGGCAAGUCUGAUGUGAAAGCCAUGGGCUCAACCCAUGAACUGCAUUGGAAACUGUCUUGCUAGAGUGUAGGAGAGGUAAGCGGAAUUCCUAGUGUAGCGGUGAAAUGCGUAGAUAUUAGGAGGAACACCAGUGGCGAAGGCGGCUUACUGGACGAUAACUGACGUUGAGGCUCGAAAGCGUGGGGAGCAAACAGGAUUAGAUACCCUGGUA